GACGAACGCUGGCGGCGUGGAUUAGGCAUGCAAGUCGGACGGUAGGGCUUUAUCGUAAGAUAGAGUUUGAGAGUGGCGGACGGGUGAGUAACGCGUGGGUAAUCUGCCCUUGAGCGGGGGAUAACAGUCGGAAACGACUGCUAAUACCGCAUACACUACCGGAGACACAUGUACUCGGUAGCAAAGGUGGCCUCUUAACAAUGCUACCGCUUAAGGAUGAGCCCGCGUCUGAUUAGCUAGUAGGUGGGGUAAAGGCCUACCUAGGCGACGAUCAGUAGCCGGCCUGAGAGGGUGUACGGCCACACUGGAACUGAGACACGGUCCAGACUCCUACGGGAGGCAGCAGUGGGGAAUAUUGGACAAUGGGGGCAACCCUGAUCCAGCCAUGCCGCGUGAGUGAUGAAGGCCUUAGGGUUGUAAAACUCUUUUGUCCGGGAAGAUAAUGACUGUACCGGAAGAAUAAGCCCCGGCUAACUUCGUG
rnacentral:rRNA from 1 species